GACUGCCAGUCUGCAGUCUUCGACGGGUAGAUUUAUAAUGUAAUAAUAAUACACAUUAUAAAUCUACCCGUCGAAGACUGCAGACUGGCAGUC